CGCCCCGCUACGCGAGUGCAGUGUCGCGUUGAACGUCUCACAGAGCGCGUCGCACGUACGAGAAGUGGCCGCCGCCCGUGUCAGCAGUCGCGUCGCAACCACGUAACCUCGUCGUAUUAGUUUAUAGUAGUUGAGUAGUAGAGAGGAGAAGAGAAGAGAGGAGAAGAGAUAAAACGCCGUAAGAACAUCAGCGCGUCGUCGUUAUAGAGUAAAAAACGUCGUCGCCGUCGUCGUCUACGUCGUCGUCGUCGUCGUCGUCGUCGUCGAUCGUCGUUCCUAGCUAUUGCCGUUUCUACUCUCUCUCCCCCUCAUCCCCGUCCCCCUCCCCCCCGCAAAGAAACGUGAAAAAGACAACAGAAAAGGAAGAAGAAGAAAGAAAGAAAGAAACAAACGAAAGCAACAACGACGAAAAACGAAAAAUAACGAAAACCAAGCAAACUCGUGACGUUGAAACUAAAUUCGGGGAAACUAAACGCAACGCAAACUCAAACCUCAACCUCGACUCAACGCAACGCAACGCAACCGACCGACUGACCCGACGCGCUUUCCAGGCCUAAUUCACACCGCCACCACCGCCACAACCACCACCCCCUACCCCCCUCCCCGACCUACCCGUCCACCCACCCAAACACCCACCCAACCACCCACCGAUCCACCCACUCAAUCAUCCGAAGACCGGGUCCAUCCCCCAAGUACUACGAGUCUCACGGUAAUAUCGUGCCCACCGAUAUGGAGCCCCAAACCCAGGAGAUAGUGGCCAGCGGAUCGCCCGCCGAGGUGCCGAACGAUCCAGGGAAAAUGUUCAUCGGUGGUCUAUCUUGGCAGACCAGUCCAGAGAGCCUCAGAGAGUACUUCACCAAGUAUGGGGAAAUCACGGAAGUGAUGGUCAUGAAAGAUCCCACCACCAGACGAUCAAGCAGCGGUGAGCUCGCCUCGUAUGUGGUGGAUAGCACUGGCCGCAUGUUUACACCAAGAGGUUUUGGCUUCAUCACGUUCGCGGAUCCAGCCAGCGUUGACAAAGUUUUGGCUCAAGGCACUCACGAACUCGACGGCAAAAAGAUCGACCCAAAGGUGGCGUUUCCAAGGAGAGCACAUCCGAAGAUGGUGACUAGGACAAAGAAGAUAUUCGUGGGCGGGCUAUCGGCGCCGACGACACUCGAAGACGUGAAAAACUACUUCGAACAGUUCGGCCCGAUCGAGGAUGCCAUGCUGAUGUUCGACAAGCAGACGAACAGGCACAGAGGAUUCGGCUUCGUCACGUUUCAGAGCGAGGACGUCGUCGACAAGGUCUGCGAAAUCCACUUCCACGAGAUCAACAACAAAAUGGUUGAGUGCAAGAAGGCGCAGCCGAAAGAAGUGAUGCUACCAGCGAACCUGGCCAAGACGCGGGCGGCAGGUCGAGGCGCUUACGAUUUUAUGUGGUCCCUGGGAGCAUUACCUGACGGUUUCCCGGCGGCAGCGUACGCGGCGUACGCGGCAGGGCGCAGCUACUCAGGAUACCCUAGUUUCGGUCUCCCCUACCCAACAGGAACGCUAGUGUACCGUGCGGUGAGUCCGCGCCUGAACGGCCUGAACCCUGCGCGAAUGAAUCGGGUGGCCGUCAGCCCAGCCGGCUGUUCCGGGCUGCCCGUGUACUACCCCGGAAGCGGAAGUGACGGUGUGGGCCGCGCGUAUUCGGAGGCGACGAUGCAACACGUUCAACAAAAUCUCCAGCGUAAGAAAUUGGAUCUGACCAACGGGCAGUUAACACCCAACAACAAUACGCCGCUACUUACGCAAGCGCUUUCUGGAUUUGUUCCAGUGAUGAACAACUACCAGGCGGCAGCGCAGGCCGGAUUUCCGCCGGCGUCGCCGCACGGAGCCGCGGGUCACGGGGGACCUCAAAACCGCUCCUUCCCGGCCGCAAAUUCGCCAGGACCGAUCGACAUGUACAGUUCGAGCGCGGCGGCCGCGGCCGCGGCCGCAGCGGCGGACAGCGCGGUGGCCAGCUACGUUCAGGCCGCGGCGAGCCCGCAACCGCCGACGACCGCGUUUCCCGCAAUCGCGGUCUCCCGCGCCCCGCUCAACUACAGCCCCAUGAUGUUUACCGCAGUUUUAGAAUCGCCACUUUGGUAGCGCUCACAGCAGCCGGCCACAUUGUUGUGCCCCGAAGUUUCGAGGGGUCCUCUGAUACCAGCGGCGUUCACUAACGGCUACCAUUGAGCCUUGUUAAGACCUAACAACAGGAUGGAAGAGAGGGCAGAAUUCGGCAGCACGGUCGACUAACGGCUAGAUUACAACAACGGGGACAAACGUAUAUUAUUAUAAAAAAUAUCAUCACAUACACAAGAGAGCAUUAAUAAAUAUUAUAUAAAGACAAGCGAACAAAGAAACGAGAAGAAAAAGAAAAAUGAGUAAUAAAAAUUAAAUACAUAUAUAAUAUAAAUAACACACCUAGACGAUUGCGCGAUACGUUGAAUUAUAUUACACACACACCCACACAUAUAUAUAUAUUUGAACACGCGAUCGAUUAAUGUAUUUAAUGAGAAUUUCGAGUCGUGAACCGUGGAUAACACAAAGCCUUUAGGAUAUAUGAGCGCGAAUUGUGGCGACGGGUGCGUAAAGAAAUUGGAACAAGCUAAAGAGAGAAAUAAAAAAAUUUAAAUAAGUAAAAAAAUAAAUAAAUAAAAACGCCGGAUUAACGCGUGUACGUGGAAAAAAGGUUGGAAGGAACGGAGAGGAGGAUACGGUAAAAUAAAUAAUUUAAACGAAAGGGAAAUGCUUGCCGGGAAUAAUAAAGGUAAUUAAAAAUGUUAACAACAAGAGAUCCGUUCGCCGAAUAGAAAAUAUAUAUACAUAUAUAUACAUAUAUAUAUAUACACACUGACUACGCUAAUUGUAAACGAAAAAUGCGGUUCUUGAAAACGAGAAAAAAUAUCGAGAAGAAAAUUACAAAAAAAUGAACGUAGCGUGUCUUAUAUCUGUAUAUGUAUAUAUGUAUACAUAUAUUAUAUAUAUACACGUGUACGUGUAUGAAGAAACUACAAAUACGGCAUGAGCAAAUAAUACGUUGACACACCUACACCGAAAGAGGAGCGACGGGGGCGGGGAGGGGGAUAGAACUUGGUUCAAAGUAGUAAAGGGAAGAAGAAACAAAAAAAAAAGAAAACGAUCGAUCAAAUGACACGCCAAUUAUGGACGUAACAAAGAGAAAAAAAAAAAAAAAAAAAAACGAACCAAUUUAAAGGAAACGGAAAAGAAAGAUGGAGGUAAAAAAGAACAACGCGAAAAAAAAAAAAUCACGAAAACCGAUCCAAAUUACGAUCGAAUAUAUAUAUAUCCAUGUCAUCCGGAUACACGAUACACACACACACACAUAUAUGUGUAUAUAUAUGUAUAUAUGUAUAUAUACAUGCAUAUAUAUAUAUAUGUAUACGAACACUCGUAAAAAAUGUACGCACACGUGUACGGAAACAUACGCGGGCAUGUGUGACUACGUUAUUUACAGCCGAAGCGAUUAUAUUGGUGCCAGCCCGUUCUCCGACAUUGAAUAAUAAAAUAAUGAAAUAAUAAUAAUAAU
rnacentral:misc_RNA from 1 species